rnacentral:rRNA from 1 species
UAAAACUUUCAACAACGGAUCUCUUGGCUCUGGCAUCGAUGAAGAACGCAGCGAAAUGCGAUAAGUAAUGUGAAUUGCAGAAUCCAGUGAAUCAUCGAAUCUUUGAACGCACAUUGCGCCCGCCAGCAUUCUGGCGGGCAUGCCUGUUCGAGC